GACGAACGCUGGCGGCGUGCUUAACACAUGCGAGUCGAACGGAAAGGCCCUGCUUUUGUGGGGUGCUCGAGUGGCGAACGGGUGAGUAACACGUGAGUAACCUGCCCUUGACUUUGGGAUAACUUCAGGAAACUGGGGCUAAUACCGGAUAGGAGCUCCUGCUGCAUGGUGGGGGUUGGAAAGUUUCGGCGGUUGGGGAUGGACUCGCGGCUUAUCAGCUUGUUGGUGGGGUAGUGGCUUACCAAGGCUUUGACGGGUAGCCGGCCUGAGAGGGUGACCGGCCACAUUGGGACUGAGAUACGGCCCAGACUCCUACGGGAGGCAGCAGUGGGGAAUAUUGCACAAUGGGCGGAAGCCUGAUGCAGCAACGCCGCGUGCGGGAUGACGGCCUUUGGGUUGUAAACCGCUUUCGCCUGUGACGAAGCGUGAGUGACGGUAAUGGGUAAAGAAGCACCGGCUAACUACGUG
rnacentral:rRNA from 1 species